rnacentral:rRNA from 1 species
CGCAUCUGUGCAUGCAGCAUAUCAAUAAGCGGAGGAAAAGAAACUAACAAGGAUUCCCCUAGUAACGGCGAGUGAAGCGGGAAGAGCUCAAAUUUGAAAUCUUAAAGGGUUUCCCUUUACGAAUUGUAGUUUAAAGAAGUGUUUUCUGUUGAGGUUUUGGUAAAAGUUCUUUGGAAUAGGACAUCAUAGAGGGUGAGAAUCCCGUAUUUGACCUUUACUUUCAACUUUGUGAUACACUUUCAAAGAGUCGGAUUGUUUGGGAAUGCAGUCCAAAAUGGGUGGUAAAUUUCAUCUAAAGCUAAAUAUUGGCGAGAGACCGAUAGCGAACAAGUACCGUGAGGGAAAGAUGAAAAGAACUUUGAAAAGAGAGUUAAACAGUACGUGAAAUUGUCAAAAGGGAAGCGUUUGACACCAGUGUUGUUCUUCUGAAAAUCAAUUAAAGAACUGUUUAUGCUAAGCUGUUUAGACUUUAUCAGCUAUACUGUUUAGUUUUGAGCUUUUCUUUAAUGCACUUUUCAGUUAACAAGUCAACAUCAAUUUCUUUUGCUGUAAAAAAGCUUGAGGAAGGUGGCUUGAGAUUCGUCUUAAGUGUUUAUAGCCUCUUGCCUAUGCAGUCGGAGAGAUUGAGGUCUGCAGCGUAGAUCCUUCGGGGCUAAAUGCAUUUGUGCUAAGUUAUAACAUUUUAUAGACAACUUGUUGACUAUGAUUUGUCUUGUAGCUUACUCGCUUAUGUUAUUUUACCUACGCUUAGGAUGUUGACAGCAGUAUAGACUGU